rnacentral:tRNA from 3 species
GCACUAGUAGCUCAGUAUCUUAGAGCGUCGGUCUUGUAAAUCGAAAGUCGGAGGUUAAAUUCCUCCCUACUGCU